CACGUAGGGGGCAAGCGUUGUCCGGAUUUAUUGGGCGUAAAGAGCUCGUAGGCGGCUCGGUAAGUCGGGUGUGAAAACUCGGGGCUCAACCCCGAGACGCCACUCGAUACUGCUGUGGCUUGAGUCCGGUAGGGGAGUGUGGAAUUCCUGGUGUAGCGGUGAAAUGCGCAGAUAUCAGGAGGAACACCGAUGGCGAAGGCAGCACUCUGGGCCGGUACUGACGCUGAGGUGCGAAAGCGUGGGGAGCAAACAGG
rnacentral:rRNA from 1 species